AGUAGGAGGAUUUGGCAGGGCCUUGUGCAGCUGCCUCUGAAGAGAAAGUCUCUAAAUGCUGCUUCUUCCUCUCUGCUGCUCUCACUGAGUAUCAAUGAGGUUAGGAGAUCGGCUGCUGGGUGGAAGCUGGAGGGUUUCUCACUUAACCUAGAGCACACUGAUGCAGCUAGAUUCGUUGGCCAGCAAAUUUCAGGGAUCUUCCUGGAUCUGCCUCUUCAACACUGGAACAAAAGGUUUGUCAGGAAGAUGACACCAGACUCCCCCCGCCCCCGCCACCUCUCAUUUAAGCUUGAAGGAGUCAGGACACAGACAGGAAGCAGCAACGUGGGAGAGACAGCCCGGGGAGGAGAGGAACGUCUAAGACCAUGUUCCAUCAUUUUGGUCUGAGUGUUGGUUUGCAUAUAUUUAAUAAAACCCAUCAAACGA